rnacentral:tRNA from 1 species
GCGGAUUUCGCCUAGUUGGUAUGGCAUCACACUUCCAAUGUGAAAUAGGGUCGGUUCGAGCCCGAUAAUCCGCUCAA